GUGGGGAAUUUUGGACAAUGGGCGCAAGCCUGAUCCAGCCAUGCCGCGUGCGGGAAGAAGGCCUUCGGGUUGUAAACCGCUUUUGUCAGGGAAGAAAAGGUUCGAGCUAAUACCUCGGACUAAUGACGGUACCUGAAGAAUAAGCACCGGCUAACUACGUGCCAGCAGCCGCGGUAAUACGUAGGGUGCAAGCGUUAAUCGGAAUUACUGGGCGUAAAGCGUGCGCAGGCGGUUAUGCAAGACAGAUGUGAAAUCCCCGGGCUCAACCUGGGAACUGCAUUUGUGACUGCAUGACUUGAGUACGGUAGAGGGGGAUGGAAUUCCGCGUGUAGCAGUGAAAUGCGUAGAUAUGCGGAGGAACACCGAUGGCGAAGGCAAUCCCCUGGACCUGUACUGACGCUCAGGCACGAAAGCGUGGGGAGCAAACAGGAUUAGAAACCCUAGUAGUCC
rnacentral:rRNA from 1 species